GACGAACGCUGGCGGCGUGCUUAACACAUGCAAGUCGAACGGAAAGGCCCUGCUUUUUUGGGGUGCUCGAGUGGCGAACGGGUGAGUAACACGUGAGUAACCUGCCCUGGACUUUGGGAUAACUUCAGGAAACUGGGGCUAAUACCGGAUAGGAGCUCCUGCUGCAUGGUGGGGGUUGGAAAGUUUCGGCGGUUGGGGAUGGACUCGCGGCUUAUCGGCUUGUUGGUGGGGUAGUGGCUUACCAAGGCUUUGACGGGUAGCCGGCAUGAGAGGGUGACCGGCCACAUUGGGACUGCGAUACGGCCCAGACUCCUACGUGAGGCAGCAGUGGGGAAUAUUGCACAAUGGGCGGAAGCCUGAUGCAGCAACGCCGCGUGCGGGAUGAAGGUCUUCGGGUUGUAAACCGCUUUCGCCUGUGACGAAGCGUGAGUGACGGUAAUGGGUAAAGAAGCACCGGCUAACUACGUG
rnacentral:rRNA from 1 species